UUUGCCACUAGGCUCACAUUAGUUCAAGUCCAUCUUCAGUCCGGAAUGACAGUCCAGACUUAGUAUUUCUUGACUACUGGUGACUGAGGAGGAAUGGCCCCGGYUGUGUUUUUAUGGCACAGAACUAGAACUAACUUUCUGCACCAAGUGAUGUUGGCCAACUCCAAUCCCCUGCCCUGACUGAGGACACUCAGGGUUGAGCUUGAAAAGCCCUGSGACACUUUAUGAUGCUGGUAUGACCCACCCCAGGAUAGUCCCAACUGUUUUGUUUGUCUUCGGGUGAUGCCAACUUGUUCUUGCUUUUGACAUGCCAAGAAGCAACUAGAAAAUAAUCAGGCUACAGAAAGGCUCAGCCACGGCCUGUCUCCCAGAUUAGAUCUCAGCAGUAAAAGUCUUUUGCCUGCUCUGACUGACAGUUCUGACCUGAAAGCCUUGUCUCCAUUCAGAGACCUCGGAGGUUUGAGUAGGCCAGAGAUGCUGUGAAAGUGAAGAAGGUGCCAAAAGGGAGCACGCACUGAAUUCUGCCACCUGCUCCUGUCCAAGAAAGCCAUGGUCCCUGGCUGCAAGCUGGGCUAGAAGGAGCCCGAGAGGAGCUUGAACCGGCAGUUCCUUGUAAUACGAAGAAAAUAACUGCAAGUUUUCCAUUCCUGUAACACACACAGCAAGUUGGAGGUGAUCUUCAUUCCCUAGGACUUGCUGCCCUCAUACCGGAGCAGAGCCUGCGUGUCCCUUC